rnacentral:rRNA from 1 species
UGGGGAAUAUUGCGCAAUGGGGGGAACCCUGACGCAGCCAUGCCGCGUGAAUGAAGAAGGCCUUAGGGUUGUAAAGUUCUUUCGGUAUUGAGGAAGGUUGAUGUGUUAAUAGCACAUCAAAUUGACGUUAAAUACAGAAGAAGCACCGGCUAACUCCGUGCCAGCAGCCGCGGUAAUACGGAGGGUGCGAGCGUUAAUCGGAAUAACUGGGCGUAAAGGGCACGCAGGCGGUUAUGUAAGUGAGGUGUGAAAGCCCCGGGCUUAACCUGGGAAUUGCAUUUCAGACUGGGUAACUAGAGUACUUUAGGGAGGGGUAGAAUUCCACGUGUAGCGGUGAAAUGCGUAGAGAUGUGGAGGAAUACCGAAGGCGAAGGCAGCCCCUUGGGAAUGUACUGACGCUCAUGUGCGAAAGCGUGGGGAGCAAACAGGAUUAGAUACCCUGGUAGUCCACGCUGUAAACGCUGUCGAUUUGGGGGUUGGGGUUUAACUCUGGCGCCCGUAGCUAACGUGAUAAAUCGACCGCCUGGGGAGUACGGCCGCAAGGUUA